GGUCAGCAAGACAAGAACAUGGCCCCUUGCCUCAUCCUUCUGAUAACCACAGAGCUGAGAUCUAACUGUGCUACCCAGCCUGGAGUCCAGUGGCUUUUCACAGGUGCAAGCAUGGCACACUACAGCCUCCUGGACUCAAGAGAUCCUCCGAACUCAGCCUCCUGAGUAGCUUGGACUCCAGGCAUACACCACUGCUCCCAGAAGAUUCUGUUAAUCCUUCAUCCGGGUCACCGCUAUCUGACCCAGCCCCCUGCUGCUGCCGUGCACAGACAGCACAUUCACUGCUGGAGGCUACUGUAAGAGAUGAAAUGGCUGGAAGUCCAGCAGGCAACCUGGGCCAUCAUGUUACCUUAAGAAGGGAUGCCCCACACUGAGAUGGUGGAGCCAAAGGUGGAAGGCACCUGAUGUCCAGGAGGGAUGAAGGCAACUCUGUCAGCCCCAGCAGUGGAGGCAACAAAAAAAUGGCUUGGGAGUUGGAGCCAGAUAUAAAAGCUGCAGACACGGGCCCAACAGUCAGAGGGGUGGCAAACAACAGAUGAAAUGGAUCAGGGAAGAACAGAGGCCCUGGAAGGAAAACACACUUCAAACACCAAGAGGUGGGAGAGUGUUACUAUGGCAAUGCAGGGCUUGGGGCUGGAGCGGCAGAGGGGCUGCUGAGAGCCAGUGAUGAAAACAAAACACAAAGGGAGGAGAUGCCCAAUCUGGAGCUCUGCCAGAGCAGGGUGGGCACCAACUCUCUCUCCUCAUCCCUGGCUUGCCGGCCGCUCCAGCCCCUCCAACUCCCAACGAUAGAAUGCAACUCUCAAAGCCACAGCAGAGCACAGAACAGCCCUGACCUGGCCUCCCCAGCCCUUUCAGCAAGUACAGCCCUGGCUUUCAUUUAUCUGGGAAGGAAAAUCGUGCUCUCCUGCCUGCCUCUAGGACUUAGCUUCUUCCGAGCCCACCAUUUGGAAUUGUGUUUCCCUCCUCUGCUGCAGCAUUGAGAAGAGACAUUAUCUUCUUCCUUCCUUCUUUUUUACU